AGAUUGAACGCUGGACGGCAUGCCUAACACAUGCAGGUCGAGCGGCAGCCGCGGGGGCGACCCUGGCGGCGAGCGGCGGACGGGUGAGUAAGGCAUCGGAAUCUGCCCUGGAUGUCGGGGGAUAACGUAGGGAAAACUUACGCUAAUACCGCAUACCGACCGAGAGGUGAAAGCGGGGGACCGAAAGGCCUCGCGCAGCAGGACUGAGCCGAUGUCCGAUUAGCUGGUU
rnacentral:rRNA from 1 species